UAGUCUACGCCGUAAACGAUGGUUACUAGCUGUUCGGCAUUUAUGUUGAGUGGCUAAGCGAAAGUGAUAAGUAACCCACCUGGGGAGUACGUUCGCAAGAAUGGAACUCAAAGGAAUUGACGGGGGCCCGCACAAGCGGUGGAGCAUGUGGUUUAAUUCGAUGAUACGCGAGGAACCUUACCAGGGCUUAAAUGUAGUAUGACAGGACUAGAGAUAGUUUUUUCUUCGGACAUAUUACAAGGUGCUGCAUGGUUGUCGUCAGCUCGUGCCGUGAGGUGUCAGGUUAAGUCCUAUAACGAGCGCAACCCCUGUUGUUAGUUGCCAGCGAGUCAUGUCGGGAACUCUAACAAGACUGCCGGUGCAAACCGUGAGGAAGGUGGGGAUGACGUCAAAUCAUCACGGCCCUUACGUCCUGGGCCACACACGUGCUACAAUGGUAGGUACAGAGGGCAGCCACUACGCGAGUAGGAGCGAAUCCUUAAAACCUAUCUCAGUUCGGAUCGGAGUCUGC
rnacentral:rRNA from 1 species